AAUAUUGCGCAAUGGAGGGAACUCUGACGCAGCGACGCCGCGUGAGCGAUGAAGGUCUUCGUAUCGUAAAGCUCUGUCCUUGGGGAAGAAGGUCUUCGGACUUGACGGUACCUAAGGAGGAAGCCCCGGCUAACUACGUGCCAGCAGCCGCGGUAAUACGUAGGGGGCAAGCGUUGUCCGGAAUUACUGGGCGUAAAGGGUGCGUAGGCGGCCUGAUAAGUCAGGUGUGAAAUACCAGGGCUCAACUCUGGGGGUGCACUUGAAACUGUCGGGCUUGAGUGCAGGAGAGGAAAGCGGAAUUCCUAGUGUAGCGGUGAAAUGCGUAGAUAUUAGGAGGAACACCAGUGGCGAAGGCGGCUUUCUGGACUGUAACUGACGCUGAGGCACGAAAGCGUGGGUAGCGAACA
rnacentral:rRNA from 1 species